AGUCGAGCGAUGAACACCUUCGGGUGUGAAUUAGCGGCGAACGGGUGAGGAACACGUGAAGAAUCUGCCUUCAACUCUGGGAUAACUCCGGGAAACCGGGGCUAAUACCGGAUAUGAGCCUCGAUCGCAUGAUUGGGGCUGGAAAGUUUUUCGGUUGAAGAUGACUUCGCGGCCUAUCAGCUUGUUGGUGAGGUAAUGGCUCACCAAGGCGACGACGGGUAGCCGGCCUGAGAGGGCGACCGGCCACACUGGGACUGAGACACGGCCCAGACUCCUACGGGAGGCAGCAGUGGGGAAUAUUGGGCAAUGGAGGAAACUCUGACCCAGCGACGCCGCGUGAGGGAUGAAGGCCUUCGGGUUGUAAACCUCUUUCAGUAGGGAAGAAGCGAAAGUGACGGUACCUACAGAAGAAGCACCGGCUAACUAUGUGCCAGCAGCCGCGGUAAUACAUAGGGUGCAAGCGUUGUCCGGAAUUAUUGGGCGUAAAGAGCUCGUAGGUGGUUCGAUACGUCGGAUGUGAAAAUCAGGGGCUCAACCCCUGACCUGCAUCCGAUACGGUCGAGCUAGAGUUUGGUAGGGGAGACUGGAAUUCCUGGUGUAGCGGUGGAAUGCGCAGAUAUCAGGAGGAACACCGAUGGCGAAGGCAGGUCUCUGGGCCAAUACUGACACUGAAGAGCGAAAGCGUGGGGAGCGAAC
rnacentral:rRNA from 1 species